rnacentral:rRNA from 1 species
UACAGAGGGUGCAAGCGUUAAUCGGAAUUACUGGGCGUAAAGCGCACGUAGGCGGAUAUUUAAGUCGAUUGUGAAAUCCCCGGGCUUAACCUGGGAACUGCAGUUGAUACUGAAUAUCUAGAGUAUGGUAGAGGAAAGUGGAACUCCCGGUGUAGCGGUGAAAUGCGUAGAUAUCGGGAAGAACACCAGUGGCGAAGGCGGCUUUCUGGACCAAUACUGACGCUGAGGUGCGAAAGCGUGGGGAGCAAACAGG